CCUACGGGGGGCAGCAGUGAGGAAUAUUGGUCAAUGGCCGGAAGGCUGAACCAGCCAUGCCGCGUGAAGGUCAGUGCCCUAUGGGCGUUAAACUUCUUUUGUGCGGGAGCAAUAAUGGUCACGUGUGGCCAGACGAGAGUACCGUACGAAUAAGCAUCGGCUAACUCCGUGCCAGCAGCCGCGGUUAUACGGGGGAUGCAAGCGUUUACCGGAUUUAUUGGGUUUAAAGGGUGCGUCGGGGGUGAGGUAAGUCAGCGGUGAAAUGCCCCCGCUCAACGGGGUGAAGUGCCAUUGAUACUGCCUUGCUAGAGUGCGGAUGCGGUGUGAGGAAUGUGGGGUGUAGCGGUGAAAUGCAUAGAUAUCACACAGAACACCGAGUGCGAAGGCAUCUCACGAAUCCGCGAUUGACGCUGAUGCACGAAAGCGUGGGUAUCAAACAGGAUUAGAUACCCCUGUAGUC
rnacentral:rRNA from 1 species